rnacentral:rRNA from 1 species
GGGUAUCAGGGUUUAUUAAUUAAUAGUUAAGAAUUUAGUUUUCUCGAAUUUUUAAGAGUUAUGAUUAUAAAAUUAUUUUUGUUGAAUAAAAAUUUUUGAUAUAAUUAUAGAAGUGAAAUGCUAUUCGAUUAUAAAUAUAUCUAGUUAUUUAAGAAAAAAAUUUAAUUUUUUUAUUAAUAUAUAAUAAAAUUAUUUUUUUAAUUUUAUUAUUUUAAUAUAAAAUAUUUUAUGGGAUAAGCUUUAAAAUAAAUUAUUUUAAAAUAUAUCUUGUAAAUUUAUUAAAUAGGAUUGAAAAUUUUUAUUUUUAAUAGUAUGUUUUAAUUAAUUAAGUAUAAUAAAUAAAAUUUAUAUUAUAUUUUAAAUUUUUUUAUUUAAAUUUAAAAUUUUAAUUUUAAAAAUUUUGUAAUAAUGAUAAAAUUAGUAUUAUUAAAUGUUAAUAGAAAUUUUUUAUUUAGGUUGAAUAAAGGAAUUCGGCAAAGUAAAUUUUUCACCUGUUUAUUAAAAACAUGUCUUUUUGAUAAUAAUUUAAAGUCUGGCCUGCCCAAUGAUAUAUUAAAUGGCUGCGGUAUCUUGACCGUGCAAAGGUAGCAUAAUCAUUAGUUUUUUAAUUAAAAGCUGGAAUGAAAGGUUGAAUGAAAAAAUAGCUGUCUCUAUUUAAUUAAAUAAUAAUUUUAUUUUUAAGUAAAAAAGCUUAAAUUAUUAUAGAAGACGAGAAGACCCUAUAGAGUUUUAUUAUUAAUUCUUAAAUUAAAUUUAUAGAAUUUUU